rnacentral:rRNA from 1 species
UACGAGGGGGGCAAGCGUUGUUCGGAAUUAUUGGGCGUAAAGGGCGCGUAGGCGGUGCGGUAAGUCACCUGUGAAAACUCUGGGCUCAACUCAGAGCCUGCAUUCGAUACUGCCGUGCUUGAGGACUGGAGAGGAGACUGGAAUUUACGGUGUAGCGGUGAAAUGCGUAGAUAUCGUAAGGAAGACCAGUGGCGAAGGCGGGUCUCUGGACAGUUCCUGACGCUGAGGCACGAAGGUCAGGGGAGCAAACGGG